GAUGAACGCUGGCGGCGUGCUUAACACAUGCAAGUCGAACGGAAAGGCUCCUGCUUGCAGGGGUACUCGAGUGGCGAACGGGUGAGUAACACGUGGGUGAUCUGCCCUGCACUUCGGGAUAAGCCUGGGAAACUGGGUCUAAUACCGGAUAGGACCACAUUUUGGAUGGUGUGGUGGAAAGUUUUUCGGUGUGGGAUGAGCUCGCGGCCUAUCAGCUUGUUGGUGGGGUAAUGGCCUACCAAGGCGUCGACGGGUAGCCGGCCUGAGAGGGUGUACGGCCACAUUGGGACUGAGAUACGGACCAGACUCCUACGGGAGGCAGCGGUGGGGAAUAUUGCACAAUGGGCGCAAGCCUGAUGAAGCGACGCCGCGUGGGGGAUGACGGCCUUCGGGUUGUAAACUCCUUUCGCUAGGGACGAAGCGCAAGUGACGGUACCUGGAGAAGAAGCACCGGCUAACUACGUG
rnacentral:rRNA from 1 species